UACGUAGGGUGCGAGCGUUAAUCGGAAUUACUGGGCGUAAAGCGCGCGUAGGUGGUUCAGUAAGUUGGAUGUGAAAUCCCCGGGCUCAACCUGGGAACUGCAUCCAAAACUGCUGAGCUAGAGUACGGUAGAGGGUGGUGGAAUUUCCUGUGUAGCGGUGAAAUGCGUAGAUAUAGGAAGGAACACCAGUGGCGAAGGCGACCACCUGGACUGAUACUGACACUGAGGUGCGAAAGCGUGGGGAGCAAACAGG
rnacentral:rRNA from 1 species